AUGCCGCCGAGGAAGAAGCGGGGGGCUCGCCCCGCCGCCAACCAGCCGCCGCCGUCGCCGCCCAAGCCGCCCGGCCCCGACGCGUCGGUGGAGGAGAAGCUGCGGUGGUCCGCCGACCAAGAGUUCGUACGUCGGAAAGCUGCCAUCAGAGCUAUUCAAGCAGCAGAGACUGAGAGCAUACUCUCCCGGCUGCACUUGGUGCGAUCCUACAUUUCCAAGGAGCAACUAGAAACACCCGCCUUGCAAUUUUUUCAGGAGAACUUGCCCAACGUGUCAGUUGUACGGAACGAAGAGCAGGGUGAGCUUGAGUUGAAAUGGAAAGACUGGGAUGAUCUCAUAAAUGGAGACCAGAGGCAUGACAAGGUUUCGCGAGCUUCGAUCACGUCAUUGGCAACUGCUCCUGGUUUUCAUUUCUCAGGAGAUUCAGUGCAGAAGAACUUCAUCGAGAGCAGUUUUGAUUUUAACAACUUUAACUGGAGUGAGCUGCCCGAAAGCCAAACGAUAGGAGCACCAGAUUCUCUACAGACACCCGGGGCCACGAGCAGUCGACUCUCUUUUGGCAUGACACCGAAAUCAGUAAGACAACCCAAGAAUGGCGAGAUGCUCUUAUCCGUGCACGGGUCACCUCUUGGAAUGUACAAAGAGGAAAAUCUGGCAGCUAUUACCGAAUCUGGAAACGGAAGCGAAGAGCCGCCUCACGAUGCCAGUGGCCAUCAAUAG
rnacentral:rRNA from 1 species